AUCAGAAAAAGGAAAAAAAGCCAUGUAUAUAUGGAUUAUAUAUUAUUAUAAAGUAUCUAUUAGGUAUUAGUUUCAAUCAUGUCAUUUAUAUAUAAACAGGAAAAAUUACACCUUAAAAAUAUUCAUUGUGUAUUAAGAAAUGCUGUAUUAUAUGUGGCAUUGUUUCUGAUCUCUAAUUAAAAAGUAUCCUUUCUGUAACUUUAAUGGUUGACAUGUAUAAUAAUAGAAUGAUUGUGUUGAUACAUCAUUUUUUUAAUUAUCAUGUAUCUUUAUAAUUAUGUUUUGAGUGUUGAGUUUUUAUAACCAGGGAAAAAUCAAUUGUUAAGGAUUUGAUUGAAUCACACAAUGACCUUGACAUGGCCUGGAAAGGUCGUGACCUUGUAUCAUCUUCAAAGUAACUACAGCUUUACAGAACUUUGUUACAUUUCUUGUUGAUUCUGUGUACCAUACAUACAAAAAAGCAAACAAAAACAAUAAAACUAAAUC
rnacentral:sRNA from 1 species